rnacentral:lncRNA from 1 species
GCCAGCCAAUCGGGAACCCCGAUGAGCGUCUGUUGGCUGCCACUCACCUGUCAACCGUCAAUCAACAGCGUGUGGCCACGGGUCCCCAACUGUCAGUCAUCCUGUGGGUCCGUAGGCAGAGCGCUGCAUCCCUGCAUUCAUAUCUAUGGGGUGCCAACUAUGUAUCAACUCAUCAGCUGCAUCUCUGCCCUCCGAGAGCUUACAUUCCAGUGGAAGAGACAUGGUCCAAACCGACAAAUAAGAUAAUUUCAGAUGCUGCUAAGUUUUAGGAAGAUGAUAACACAAGAAUGGAGAAACUGAGGCACAGAGCAGGCCAAUGACUUGCUGAAGGCUGCAGAGAGAGCUUGCGGUCAAGCUAGACGUCGAACGCAGACCUCCUGACUCAGGUUUCCUAACUGAGCUACAAAGUGCUUCAGAACUCACGAGAAAGGAGGGAAAUGUGAGGCUGGCAGGCAAGAAGGCAUCUUGACAGAGGUGGAGAGAAGAAGGAGGAAUAUCUUAAGAUGGCUACAGCUGGGGUGGGCCAUGAGAGAGACAUGAAAACCAUCGUAUGAAAGCCAUAGCUUUGUUGUCGGAAAUGCGGAACCUCAGGCCUGGUCUGCAUUUUAACCAGAUCCCCAGAUGACGCCAGUGCACAGUUUGAGGAGUUUGAGAAGCAACACUCUAUUCAGUGGGGAGAAAGCAGUGCAAAACCUUUUUUCAAAAAUCAUGGCUUUAGGAGGGAUAGUGUUCUAGCUCAUAAAUUAGGUGCUGGGUUCAUGGAUGAUGUUUAUUUUGUGAUUAAGCUUUAUAACCUAUUUCAGGGUUUUGAGCAAAAGUCAGCUCCUCAAUGAAGCUUUUUAUGGUCCCAUUAUUUAAAAUUAUACCCCCAUCACCCGCUCUGUCCUCCUUUCCUGCUUUAUAUUUUUCUGGAAUGCUUGUUACCAUCUGAGAGAUGAAAAACUGUCAGUUUUUAUUUGUAUAUUGUCUAUCUCUCUCUCCCUAUAAGGUGAGCUCUACAAAAGCAGCAAUUAGUUCUGGUUUAGUCCUUGCGCUAUCCCCAGCAUCUACAACAGGGCCUGGUACCCAGUAGGUCUUCAAUAAAUGCUUUUGGAAUGAAUGUGUUAUAUGGUACAUAUUAAAUAUUACAUAAUAAAAUGGCUUUUAAAGUUAAAAAACCA